rnacentral:rRNA from 1 species
GACGAACGCUGGCGGCGUGCUUAACACAUGCAAGUCGAGCGGUAAGGCCCUUUCGGGGGUACACGAGCGGCGAACGGGUGAGUAACACGUGGGUGACCUGCCCUUAGCUCUGGGAUAAGCCUGGGAAACUGGGUCUAAUACCGGAUAUGACUCCAUGACGCAUGUUGUGGGGUGGAAAGCCUUGUGCGGCUAGGGAUGGGCCCGCGGCCUAUCAGCUUGUUGGUGGGGUGAUGGCCUACCAAGGCGACGACGGGUAGCCGGCCUGAGAGGGCGACCGGCCACACUGGGACUGAGACACGGCCCAGACUCCUACGGGAGGGCAGCAGUGGGGAAGUCUUGCGCAAUGGGCGAAAGCCUGACGCAGCGACGCCGCGUGAGGGAUGACGGCC